UGGGUUCGCCCCGAGAUAGGGAUGGUGGCUCCGUAGAGCAGUGCGGUUCUUGCGCUGUCCGGUGCGCUCGCGUCGGCCCUUGAAAAUCCGAGUGAGGGAGUGUGAUUUUCGUGCCGGACCGUACCCACAUCCGCAUGAGGUCUCCAAGGUGAACAGCCUCUAUUCGAUGGACCAAUGUAGGUAAGGGAAGUCGGCAAAACGGAUCCGUAACCUUGGGAUAAGGAUUGGCUCUGAGGACUGAGCCGGUCGGGCUGGGGACCUGAAGCAGGAACGGCACUGCACCGGGACUGGGCGGGGCUCGCCGUUCACGCGGCGCGGCCAAGCCCGGACCAGCGUCGGGACCUUCCUGUGGAAAGCCUCAGCUGCGCGGCGUCCGAGGGCUUCGUGCCCAAAGUGCUAUGCUGCGGCCGGCAAAAAACAGUCAACUCAGAACUGGCACGGACCGGGGGAAUCCGACUGUCUAAUUAAAACAAAGCAUUGCGAUGGCCGCUGGUCGGUGUUGACGCAAUGUGACUUCUGCCCAGUGCUCUGAAUGUCAACGUGAAGAGAUUCAUCAAAGCGCGGGUAAACGGCGGGAGUAACUAUGACUCUCUUGUGGCGCUACCGCACGACACGCCCCUUGGAUACUAUCACGCUCCCGUUGCUGAGGGAGGGUUAGGGGU
rnacentral:ncRNA from 1 species